rnacentral:RNase_P_RNA from 1 species
CCGGGGGGCCGGGCAGCCGCGUCAUCGCAAGAUGCCGAGGAAAGUCCGGGCUCCACGAAACAAGGGUGGCGGGUAACGCCCGCCGGACGAGUGGCUUGCUGCGAAGUCCAGGGAAAGUGCCACAGAGAGCAGACCGCCCCCCAAGCUGUCAAAGGCUUGCGGGGUAAGGGUGAAAGGGUGCGGCAAGAGCGCACCGGGCCGCUGGUAACAGGGGUCGCAUGGCAAACCCCACCCGGAGCAAGACCGAAUAGGGGCGGCGCGUCCUUCGGGACAGGUCUGUUUCGGACCCGACCGCCCGGGUUGGUUGCUUGAGCCGCGCAGCAAUGCCCGGCCUAGAGGAAUGGCUGCCCCCGCCGAUACGGUGCCCGACCAAGGGAAACCUUUGGGCAUACCGUCGGCGGGACAGAACCCGGCUUACAGGCCCCCCGGCGAA